AACGAACGCUGGCGGCAUGCCUAACACAUGCAAGUCGAACGAAACCUUCGGGUCUAGUGGCGCACGGGUGCGUAACGCGUGGGAAGCUGCCCUUAGGUUCGGAAUACCUCCCCGAAAGGGGUGCUAAUGCCGGAUAAUGUCUUCGGACCAAAGAUUUAUUGCGUUUGGAUGGGCCCGCGUUGGAUUAGCUGGUUGGUAGGGUAAAAGCCUACCAAGGCGACGAUCCAUAGCUGGUCUGAGAGGAUGAUCAGCUACACUUGGACUGAGACACGGCCGAGACUCCUACGGGAGGCAGCAGUGGGGAAUAUUGGACAAUGGGCGCAAGCCUGACCCAGCAAUGCCGCGUGAGUGAUGAAGGCCGUAGGGUUGUAAUGCUGUUUUAACCGGGAUGAUAAUGACAGUACCGGGAGAAUAAGCUCCGGCUAACUACGUG
rnacentral:rRNA from 1 species